GACGAACCGUCCGAACGUUAUUCGGAAUUACUGGGCUUAAAGCGCGUGUAGGCGGGUCGACACGUCCGACGCUGAAAUCCCCCGGCUCAACCGGGGAACGGGCCCGGAUACGAUCGACCUGGGGGGGGGUAGGGGGGUCUGGAACUUCCGGUGGAGCGGUGAAAUGCGUUGAGAUCGGAAGGAACGCCCGUGGCGAAAGCGAGACCCUGGACCUCAUCUGACGCUGAGACGCGAAAGCAAGGGGAGCGAACGGG
rnacentral:rRNA from 1 species